rnacentral:lncRNA from 1 species
GGUUUUCAUUUCAGUAAAUUUCUUUUUACUAAAAACCCUAAUUCCCAAAUCUCCUCAAAUCGAUCUUCAUCAAUCUCUUCAAUGGUGUGGGUAAUCGUUCAAUAUCUUCGAUAAAACUUAAAAACUAGAACCUUAUCCAUUCUUUGCCUUUAAUUUUGCUUCGGUCAUCUGUCGUUAGUCAUCGGUGGGGAAGAUAUCGAUAUCGAUAUCGAUCGGAGUGGGCUUGAAGACAAAUAACAGAAGAAAUUUUAUUAAGAGGUAUUAGCAUUUCUACUAUUUGUUAUCUCUUUUUCAUGCGUUUGUAAAUGGAUUUUUUGUUAUUUAAGUUGGAAAAGUUUUACUCUGUUACUGUACUCGGCUAAAGGGAAAAAUGUUUUGGCUUUUUCGUCUGUUAAAGGAUAGGGAAUCUUGACCUUUAUUUCUUGUCUUUUUCAGAGUUUGUUCAAAUUUGUGGCUCUAUUAUUGUUGUUUUUCACUACGGGGUAGGGUUACUGAAGGACAAUAUGUUGGGGAGUUGGAAAGGGUUGUCUUUACUAUAGAUAAAGACCAUUUCUCUCUGACCGAGAUGAAAUGUUACACUAAGG